rnacentral:lncRNA from 1 species
AAUAGAUACUUGCUAGCUGUUAAAAUGGAAAAAUUCUAGAAUGCAACGGGUAUAUUAGUGACGUGGCGUAACAAACCAAUCAAAUUAAUCAUUUUAAAAAUAUAUGUCCCAUCAUGAUUGUAAAAAAGUAUUUUUAUUGUACUUUUAUUUGAAAAGAAGGAAUGUGAUUGGCUUGUUACUGAUGACGUGGUGCAAGUGUGACAGUGUAGAAUUCCUCGUUAAAAUGUGCUUUAUUCUAUCAUCAAACAAUAAGCUCUAAUUCGUAGUUAAGUACACAUUUGGCAUUUAGAUCUUUUUAAAAGGAGCAAUUUGGUAUAUUUAUAUAUAGAAGUAUGUGUAAUGCGUAUGAAUUCAUUCAUUUUAAAAGAAUAAGAUGCAAAGUAGAACUUUUAUUAAUGCCUACAAACUAGCCAGUAAUGCAAUUGUCGUGUUUUAGAAAAAGUGUUCUUUGUGACAGUAAUAUCAUUUGGGAUAACUCAGAAAAAAAUUUCAUACCAUAUAUAGGUGAUAGUAAAUAUGACAUUCCAAUAGUCCCACAUCGAAUGGAAAUGAAGUUAUCAUUGGGUUUAUAAGAGGACUCUACUAUCGUAAUAAUAAGUGGGCUUUAGUAUUUUGGACUAGUGAUUUGGGUUCAACGAGUUAUUAUUGCUAGUGGGUCGUAUCGUUACAUUUGGUAUCAGGACCAGUUCACCAGCCGGAAGUGUGAGAUGGCUCUUGGCUGAGCCAAGAUCAAAAUGACGGUCGGUGAUUGAGAGGUUUAACAUUUAUUAUUAUAUAU